CUUCCACAUGCAAGUCGAACGGCAGCACGAAAAAAGCUUGCUUUUUUUGGUGGCGAGUGGCGAACGGGUGAGUAAUAUAUCGGAACGUACCCAGUAGCGGGGGAUAACUACGCGAAAGCGUGGCUAAUACCGCAUACGCCCUACGGGGGAAAGGGGGGGAUCGCACGACCUCUCACUAUUGGAGCGGCCGAUAUCGGAUUAGCUAGUUGGUGGGGUAAAGGCCCACCAAGGCAACGAUCCGUAGCUGGUUGAGAGGACGACCAGCCACACUGGGACUGAGACACGGCCCAGACUCCUACGGGAGGUAGCAGUGGGGAAUUUUGGACAAUGGGGGAAACCCUGAUCCAGCCAUCCCGCGUGUGCGAUGAAGGCCUUCGGGUUGUAAAGCACUUUUGGCAGGGAAGAAACGGCGCUGAAUAAUACUUGGCGCAACUGACGGUACCUGCAGAAUAAGCACUGGCUAACUACGUGCCAGCAGCCGCGGUAAUACGUAGGGUGCAAGCGUUAAUCGGAAUUACUGGGCGUAGAGCGUGCGCAGGCGGUUCGGAAAGAAAGAUGUGAAAUCCCAGAGCUUAACUUUGGAAUGGCAUUUUUAUCUACCGGGCUAGAGUAUGUCAGAGGGGGGUAGAAUUCCACGUGUAGCAGUGAAAUGCGUAGAGAUGUGGAGGAAUACCGAUGGCGAAGGCAGCCCCCUGGGAUAAUACUGACGCUCAUGCACGAAAGCGUGGGGAGUAAACAGGAUUAGAUACCCUGGUAGUCCACGCCCUAAACGAUGUCAACUAGCUGUUGGGGCCUUUGGGCCUUAGUAGCGCAGCUAACGCGUGAGUUGACCGCCUGGGGAGUACGGUCGCAAGAUUAAAACUCAAAGGAAUUGACGGGGACCCGCACAAGCGGUGGAUGAUGUGGAUUAAUUCGAUGCAACGCGAAAAACCUUACCUACCCUUGACAUGUCUGGAAUCCUUUAGAGAUAGAGGGGUGCUCGCAAGAGAACCGGAACACAGGUGCUGCAUGGCUGUCGUCAGCUCGUGUCGUGAGAUGUUGGGUUAAGUCCCGCAACGAGCGCAACCCUUGUCAUUAGUUGCUACGAAAGGGCACUCCAAUGAGACUGCCGGUGACAAACCGGAGGAAGGUGGGGAUGACGUCAAGUCCUCAUGGCCCUUAUGGGUAGGGCUUCACACGUCAUACAAUGGUCGGGACAGAGGGUUGCCAACCCGCGAGGGGGAGCCAAUUUCAGAAACCCGAUCGUAGUCCGGAUUGCAGGCUGCAACUCGCCUGCAGAAGUCGGAAUCGCUAGUAAUCGCGGAUCAGAAU
rnacentral:rRNA from 1 species